GGCUGGUAAGAACUGACUCGGUCUGAUCCUCUGUCAUCUCCCCCACCUGCCCCUACUGGCCCCACACAUCCCUUUCACUGACUCCCACUUUCCCCACUGCCCCUGGAUGUCUUCACUGGUCCUCACCCGCUCCUCUUCCCCUAGUUGGACUGUUCUUCUCACUGGCCAUUCCCCCACAGGUGGACGUGGGACUUGGAGCCGGAGAGAAGGGAGAGCCUGGGGACCGAGGACAGGAGGGUCCACGAGGACCCAAGGGCGACCCUGGCCCCCCUGGAGCUUCUGGGGAGAGGGUGAGUGUGGCUGGUCCCAAGGGGUCGCGUGGGCCUGGGAAACCCUGCUCUGAUUUCUUCCUCUCCCGCCCUCAGGGCGUCAGUGGACUUCGGGGGCCUCCAGGCCCACAGGUGAGUGAUGCACUUGGUACCAUCAGCCUAAGUGUCCCUCUUGCCCUCUCCUCUCACUGACCUUGUGACCUUGUUCCCUUCAGGGGGACCCAGGUGUUCGAGGCCCAGCAGGAGAAAAGGUGAGAG
rnacentral:lncRNA from 1 species